GGAAUUACGGGCCUACUAAUAGCGGUAGUGUGAAUGCCGCCGAAAAGUGCCUUUCAUUGUUUUGUUGAUUGUAGGAGGGCACACUGUGAAUAAAACGUUCCUUUAGCCACAGCCAAGGCCUUUGAAGUACCCCUUUCUUCGGACCUACGCGUGUGGGGAGCCGUUUAAGGCAACUCCACAUGAAACAAAACAACAAUACCCAUAAUCAUUUAUAAGUGUCAUGAUGUCAUCCCUUUCAUUUAUAUAAAAAUUAUAUAUAAUAUUAUUUCUAUAUAUAUACUUAUAUAUAUGCAUA